UUUAUAACUGUAAUUUCAGGGUAGUGGAAUCUGUUUCAGCAUUUAUUUAAGUCACAGUGUUCUUGUGGUUUGAGUUCAUUUUAAUGAUUGUGUGGCAAAAUUAUGCUUGGUGAUUAGUUCAUCCUGCCUUCAGUUAAUUAUUUACAUCCCAGUUAAAAUAGCUGAAAAUUCUACCACAUUCAUGCAGUUGUAGAAUAACAGAAACAAGAUCACUGUGUCUGAAAAAUAUGGCACCAUUAAGCACCUAUUUACACUAAUCCUACAUUUUUUUUCAUAUUCUCAUCAACUUCCCCCGGGUUCUACCACUCACCUAUACAUGACGGGCAAUCAACCCUGCAAUCUGCACAACACAGGAAGCUUGCUCUGCUGCCAGAGAGGGGUGGCUGCCUUUUGAUCGCUGGUGGACUCACUCUGCCGACAGAGAGGAAAGCCUGUUGCCUGUCACUGUGCCUUGAGAAUGUCACCCAGAUGCUGUCUGACCUGCUGAGAAACUCCUUCAGCUCACUUUUUUGGCCAUUCCAAUCUCAGAUGAGAAGAAAAUGCAUCAUGCAGGGCGUGGAGAAUCUUUGCAAAAUUCUGUCCAAGAGGGGAUGAAGCCUCUUAUGCUGAAAAUAUUCAGAGAUUGAUGGAUACAUGGGGCAUCUGGACGUGUGGUGCUUGUGCAGGAAUAUGUCACUAAGAUGGCAGCUUCUGUUACCAUUCAACAAGAUCAUGACUAUUCCUGUGUCCCUUUCCUGUCUGAUUAUCUCAGACAAGUCUGGAAUCCCAAGAAUCACACUGGCGAAAGCUUUUUUCACCCCUUUUAGUUAAGAUUACACUUCAUUAGGUGAGUAAACUAAAUAUCUGGACAAUGUGACUUCAUAAAUGUAAAUUAUCAUCAAUCAGAAAUGUUAACUUUUUUUUUCUUCCCUCAGAUGUGGCAUGACCUGCUGAGUAUUUCCAGCAAUUUUAGUUUUAUUUGUGAUUUCAAAUAUUUAUCAGGCAAAACUUUCUCCUCUGACUAUAGUGCUCUCUCCCAGUGUAAGUUAACGCACCACUUACUCACUAAUUGCUUUCUUCACUUAUGUUCAGACCUGCCCUUAGGGAAUGCAGCAUUGUCAGAAACAUUAAUCAAAUGCCCUUGUCCAUUCAUCCCCACAUUGUUCGUAUUUGUUGUCAAUUUCCAGGGCCUUAAGCUCUGGAAUUUCUUCUCUAAACCUCUCUACUUCCUCAGAAGAAAUUGGAAAAAGAGCAGGUUAUUCAGCCCCUCAGGCAGUGCUAUUAUUUAACUAAUUCAAGUCUCUUUCCUGCCUGGCUUGAACAGCCUUUGCAUGUCUAAAAUUUACCUCAAACUCGUGUGCGAAAACAUUCAACAACCUAAGUCCUUUGGGUGGGGAUUUCCAAGGAUGCACAGACCAUUGCAAAAGGGAACUUCCCAUCAUCACUCCUUGUGAUGUCCAGCCUUUAUUCUGAGGUGAAGAUAGAAGAGAAAGCUGAUGAUAGAAGCUGGAGCAAAAUGCAGACUGCUGGAAGAACACAAAGGUUUGUGACCCAGAAUUUUGACCGUUUCUUUUCUCCAAACGAUGCUACUCAGUCCAUUGAGUUCAUUCAGCAGUUUCUUCUUUUUCCUUGUGCUUUAUCCUAAAGAUAUGCUCUGCAGUUCUAGAUGUUUCAAGCAGAGCAACCCGACUCCCAGUAUCCACCAUGCCAACCUCUAUGAACCUACCUUCCACCUCUCUCUGUGAUUAAGCUCCUGCUCAUCUGCCCUAUUAUCAUUUUAUGUGAUAGUAUCAGAUUUUGCCUGAUAAUACUCACAGGGAAAUUUUUGCUACAUUGAAAUUGCUACAUAAACAUCAAUUUGCUUAAAUAGUUCAGGAGGCUGGUAAAAAUACAAUGGUGCUCUACAGGAAAGUUCUCCAGGAACCCAAUCAUAUUUCUUCUCUCCAUCUCCUUUCAAAGCAAAUGUGUAAAAUGGCCACCGAAAAUAUCCCAAAAAACAUUAUCAGAAUAGUAGGGAGACACGUGAGACUGAGCAAAGCAGCCAGAGAAACAAGCAGAUUGCUGGAGAAACUCAACACGUUGAGCAGCAUCUGUAGGAGGGGCAGAACCGUCAGAAUUUUGAAUCGAGGCCAAGACUGAAGAAAAGUUUUGACCUGAAACGUCGCCGAGUACUUUCCCCCAGAGCGCUGCUGAAUUCCUCCAGCAGGUUGCUUGCUGUUAUCAGAACAGUAAAUUAAUUAGCUUUAUGUGAAAUGCCUUGGAAUGUUUUUGUGAAGUGUAGUGAGGUAAGUUUCUAUAUUUCAUGCUCUGUGAUCAUUUCUUUGGGAUAUCCAACACCUAAAAGAGAAUUUCCCUCUAGAGUUAUAAAUUAAUUGGGUCAUAGAGGCCAUUCAGUUCACCAGGUCCCUGCUGACCCUUUUCCCCAUCUCAGCCCAUGUCGUCUAGGAACAUGACAGAUGACAAGUUAUGGACACAGCUCUGCACAUCACAAAAACUGACUUCGCUUACAUAGCUUCAGUUUAUACUUCCCCCUGCCUCAGCUAACAUAAUCAAAGACCAUCUCACAUCAGACAUUUUUGCCUCUCUGCCCUCCUGUUGGCCAGAACUUACAAGAAUCUGAAAGCACAGGCAGAAGGACAGCUUCUAUCAGCUUGUUAUAGGAUUAUUAAGAAGAUCUUCUCUACAAUAAAAUGGACUCUGAUGUUACAACCUAUCUCAUUAUGGUCUUGAACUUACUUGUCCACCUGCACUGCACUUUCUCUGUAAUUAUAAUAUUAUACUCUGUACUCUGUUAUUGUUUUUCUUUUUGUACAACCUCAAUGCACUAAUGAGAUGAAAUAACUUGUGUUGAUAGUAUGCAAAACAAAGACUUUCACUGGACUUCCUGUCAGAUCACUGGCAGGGGUAAGAGUGGGCUCCCUCAACUCUGCAUCUCUGACCCUCAACACAGGAACUCUUCAGGGCUGUUUAAUAACCACUCUCCUUUACUCUCUGUAUACCCAUGACUGUGUCACCAUCCACAGCUCCAAUCCGCUAAUUAAAUUUGCUGACACUACACUAAUUGUCCUAAUCCCAAAUAAUAAUGAGGCAGCCUACAGAAAAGAAGUCAUCACUCUGACACAGUAGAGUCAAGAAAACAUCCUCUCCCUCAAUGUCGCAAAAACAAAGAAGCUGGUUGUGGACUACGGGAGGAAUGGAGACGGGCUAACCCCUAUUGACAUUAAUGGAUCUGGGGUUGAGAAGGUGAACAGCUUUAAGUUCCUCGGCAUCCACAUCACUGAUGAUCUCACGUGGUCUGUACCUACUGGCUGUGUGGUGACAAAGGCACAACAGCGCCUCUUUCACCUCAUACGGUUGAACAAAUUUGGUAUGGGCCCCCAAAUUCUAAGAAAUUUCUACGGGGGAACAAAUGAGAGCAUCUUGACAGGUUGUAUCACUGCCUGGUAUGGGAACUGUACCUCCCUCAAUCGCAGGGCUCUGCAGAGAGUGGUGUGGUCAGGCCAGCACAUCUGUAGAUGUGAACUUCCCACUAUUCAGGACAUUUUCAGAGAAAGGGCCAGAAGGAUCAGUGGGGACCCAGGUCACCCGAACCACAAACUGUUCCAGCUGCUACCAUCCAGGAAAGGGUAUCACAGCAUGAAAGCCAGGACCAACAAGCUCCAGGGCAGCUCCUUCCACCAGGUUAUCAGACUGAUUAAUUCAUGCUGAGACUACUGUA